rnacentral:misc_RNA from 1 species
CUUUCUUGUGGGUGCGUAUGGUAUUCUGUACUGAUUACCUAUGAAAUGGAAUUAGAUGGCUUUAUUGUUUUCAUUCGCCAUGUACCCUUUUGGGUGUGAGGUGGACGUGAGGCGGGCUUUGUGUUCUUGGCAUGUCAAACGCUUUAGCGCUUGCUUGUCAUGGCCCAUGGAGCCUUAGCUUGUUCUCUCGGAUGUGGAAUACUAUGUGUGGGCGUGAGGUCUCGGCCUCAAAUCGUCUAAGCACUGUCCCUUGACUCGAAUGACUGUUGUGCUCGUCUUGAUCUUCCCGACCAAGGCCUCGUAAUGGGGCUUACUGGACGAGGGUUGCUCAUGCGGGUAUUAGCGUCAAAAAGGAAUGU